GAAACAGUAGUUUAACUGGAAAAAUAUUCCAUUCAAAGGAAGGUCAUCGGUUCGAAUCCGGUCUGUUUCU
rnacentral:tRNA from 1 species